rnacentral:snRNA from 1 species
GAAGCGACGCAUGCGCCCGCCGCCCGA